rnacentral:rRNA from 1 species
UACGGGGGGGGCAAGCGUUGUUCGGAAUUACUGGGCGUAAAGGGCGCGUAGGCGGCAAAUUAAGUCAGCUGUGAAAUCUCCGAGCUUAACUCGGAACGGUCAGCUGAUACUGAUCUGCUAGAGUGCGGAAGGGGCAAUCGGAAUUCUUGGUGUAGCGGUGAAAUGCGUAGAUAUCAAGAGGAACACCUGAGGUGAAGACGGGUUGCUGGGCCGACACUGACGCUGAGUGCGCGAAAGCCAGGGGAGCAAACGGG